CCCCAACCAACCAACCAACCAACCCCAAUAGUAAAUAGUUAGAUAGACUCAAUCUCCCCCACCCCCACCCCCAUCACCAACCCCCUCCCCACUCCCCACAACACACACAACCUCAGAAUGUAAACUAAUGCAAAAUAAAAACAGACUUACACAAAACAAUAACGUGGAAAUAAAUGAAAAUAAUAGAAAAAGUGGAGUUAGAAAAAAUAUGAUAACAAUGGGCGUGUCUAAGUAAUGGGCCGAGGGUGUCACGUGACCUCCUGACGUCAUUAAGAGGUCAUUAGCAGGUGAGGUCAAGGUGUGAGGUCAGAGGUCAAGUUGGCUUCAGCUGCCCCACCUACCCCCCUCACUCACCCCCCUCCCCCCGUAAACACUCUAUAUAGCGAAGAUUGUAAUAUAAAUGAAAGAAAAAUAUAAAUGAAAAGAAAAUUAUUAGAGAAAAGAAAUUAAGUGGAUAGAAAAUAUAUGUUGUUUGUUGAUGAUCCAAGACUGUUUGUGUGUUUGUUGGUGUUUGUUUUGUUUUAUGUUUUUUUUUGCGUGAGUUUGAAAAUGAGGAAAAAAGUGUAAUUACGAUGAAGUGAUUAUUUUUUUGUUUUGUUGUUUGUCUAUCAUUUGUUUAUUUGCUUUUUUUUCUUUUUUUCUUUUUUCGUGCGUGUGAAUUUGAAAAUGAUGGAAAAAAGUCUUGUUCUAAAGUGACUAAUUAUUUGUUUUGUUCACUUUCCAUUUGUUUCUUUUUUUUCUUAUAUUCAUUUCCCUUCAAAGAAAAAUAAACAAGUGUUAGAAAAUCAAUAUUCUUUACCAACUUAUUUGUUUUUUUCUGCGUGUAAUGAAAAAGAAAACUAAGAAAACAACAUCAAGACAAUUUCCUCUUUCAAAACUAUCACUAUUUUCUUAUUCAUGUGAUUUUUUUUUGUAUAUAGUGACCAACGGGAAAAGAAAAACAAGAAAAGAACAACAACAACAACAACAACAACAACAACAACAACAACAACAACAACAACAACAACAACAAAAGACAAUGGGUGGGUGUGUGUGUGUUACGAUCUGACUAUUUUUUCUUUUCUUUGUUUUCCUCUCGACUUCGUUUUAGCGGCGAAAAAAAUAAAAUAAAUAAAUAAAACAAAUAUUAAUUCAUAAAAAAAAAACUCGUUAAAAAUAAUAUUCUUUGUAAAAAAAAAGUUUAUGUGGAAGAAAUACAACUUGGAAUUUCUUGUAUGUCGUGUAUGUACGUAUGUGUGUAUGGCGCCGCCCCCCCCCCUCCCCCCCCCCCUCGCCCCCCCUCCCCCCAUCAUCUGUAUAUUAAAGAGGUGCUUAUUUCCAUGCAUUUCAUCCUCUCAUCUCCCCCUUUUUUUUUCCUUUUUUCUUCUUCCUUUUCCUAUUUUCUUUUCCUUCCCUUCCUUUCCUUCCUUCCUCAUCUUCUUCAUAAUUGCCUCUCCUCCUCCUCCUCCUCCUUUUCCUUCCCUUCCCUUCCCUCAACUCCUUUCCUUUCAAACCUUCCUCCUUCCUCCUCCUCCUCCUUACCUCCUUCCUUUAGAUCAUUCCUCUUCCUGAUCAACCUCCUCCCCUUCCUCCUUCUCUUCCUCCUUUUAUAUAUAUGCCUCCUCCUCUUCCUCCUCCUCUUCCUUACCUCCUUCCUUUAGAUCAUUCCUCUUCCUGAUCAACCUCCUCCCCUUCCUCCUCCUCCUCCUCCUUUUAUAUAUAUGCCUCCUCCUCUUCCUCCUCCUCCUCCUUACCUCCUUCCUUUAGAUCAUUCCUCUUCCUGAUCAACCUCCUCCCCUUCCUCCUCCUCCUCCUCCUUUUAUAUAUAUGCCUCCUCCUCUUCCUCCUCCUCCUCCUCCUCUUCCUCUUCCUCCAUCCCAUUCUUAUGUACAUUACGGCGCCUCACUCCCCAUCCCAUUCCCCACUUCCCCAUCCCUCUUCCCCACUCCCCAAACAUGUAUUUAUAGCUGUAUAAAGGCGCCAAAAACUAUCACUCACAAACCAAUCAAUCCCCAUCCUCGAAAAAAAAAUAUCCCCAUCACCUCCCUAAAAAAAAAUCCCCAAACUUAAAACUAAUAAUAAAAAACUUGUACUAUACUUGUCAAUGUAAAUCUUGCUGUAGGUCAACAUUAAAAACAUGUCUCAUAAUAACAAACAAGAAUAACAAUAAUGAUAAUGGUGGUAAUAAUAAUAAUGAUGAUGACGAUGAUGAUGAUGAUGAUGAUGAUGAUGCUACUACAGUACACAGAGCUUUACUUUACAGUGAUUUCUAAGUUAGCCGCGUUGGUCAGCAGUGUUUCAGCUUUGUAUUACUGGUAGUGUAAGUAUUAGGCAGGCGUGGCGGUGUGCGGGGGGGACGAGGGGAAGGGGGGGCACUCACAGGGGACACUUAUGAAGGGGGGCUAGCAGCUACAGAGGGGGGAGGCACUUAUAAGAGAGCAAGCAGUAACAGGAUCCAUGGUCACUUGAAUGAGCUAUUUGAAGGAGUUGCCCAGAUAGAUUACUUAAUGGACCACUUAUGAGUCACUUGUAUGAGUUAUGAGUCACAAAUGAGUUUAUGUUUGAGUCAUAAGGAAUAGCUGAAAUGUCACAAGGAGUCGCUUACACGAAUAUUUCACUUUAAUGAGUCACUUAUAUGAAGGAUCUAUUUAAAUGAGUCACUUAUAUACGACUUACUCAUUCAUAAGGGGUGAGUCAUUUAGAUAACUCGCUAUGAAAGGGGUGACUAAAAUAGCUCAUCCUUAAGGGUCAUUCUAACUCAUCCUAAAGGGGGUGAAUCACUUUAAAACAGGUCACUUGAAGGCCGGUGACUCUUUUUUUUAAUUUUUUUUAACCGUGAAAGGGGUGACUAAAAUAGCUCAUCCUAAAGGGUCAUUCUAACUCAUCCUAAAGGGUCAUUCUAACUCAUCCUAAAGGGGUUGAAUCACUUUAAAACAGGUCACUUGAAAGCCGGUGACUCACUUUUAACCGAGUCACUUGAUACGCGAGUUAAAUGCUGAAGCCUCUUGAGUCAGGGGCCACCUUGAGUCAGUCACGUGUACAGGUGAGUCGGGUCAUGAGUCACCUAAAUAAAGUGACUCACGUGAAAGGCUUCCCUCUGCCCCCUCGCCCCCCACCACACACGCCACUUAGGUUCACCCCCACCCCCCUCCCCCACUCAUCCACCUCCCCCACCUCCUCCUUCCCCUCCCUCCCCCUCCCCCCCUCCUCCCCCUACCCAUGUUCUGAGGACUGCCAGUGGGGAUUUACCUGCUGUUUGCCUGUUUGUCUGUCUGUCUGUUUGUUUGAUUGUCUGUCUGUCAGCCUGUCUGUUUUUUCACUCUUCGUUUUACUUUUUCCUGAAUGUCUAUAUUUCUCUCUCUCUCUCUCUCUCUCUCUCUCUCUCUCUCUCUCUCUCUCUCUCUCUCUCUCUCUCU